rnacentral:rRNA from 1 species
UACGGGGGGAGCAAGCGUUGUUCGGAUUUACUGGGCGUAAAGGGUGCGUAGGCGGUUGUUUAAGUCUGUUGUGAAAUCCCCGGGCUCAACCUGGGAAUGGCAAUGGAUACUGGGCAGCUAGAGUGUGUCAGAGGAUGGUGGAAUUCCCGGUGUAGCGGUGAAAUGCGUAGAGAUCGGGAGGAACAUCAGUGGCGAAGGCGGCCAUCUGGGACAACACUGACGCUGAAGCACGAAAGCGUGGGGAGCAAACAGG